UGCCUGAGCUGGCAUCCUCUUCCUCCUGUCGGCGGGAGGUGUGGAUCACCUACUGCGUGCGGGGAACAAACGCCGCCCCAGUACCGGUCCCUGCAGCGGAGUAGCCUUCACCUGCAAGGUGAACGCCUGCUCACCACGUAAUCCCCAAACGCAGAUAUCACGUUGUCUCUGCAACUUUCCCUGACAACCACCCAAUGCAAUUAAUUAUCCCACAAUAGUAUCUCCCGCAGGCUCUCUGUAGAACCAUAGAAUUCAUCCAUCAAAAUACAAUCAUUUGUUGAUCCGUCUCUCUCUGCCGCCCCCAAAUGUGAAUUCCUUGAGUCAGAGACUAUUCUACUCAGCAAAACAUUUGUGAGUGGAAUUAAAUUGAAAUAAACCGUUAUAGUCCACUCACAGAUGGAAAACACAUAGUAAAAUCCUAGAAUUCCAUUUCUCCCCUGAAAAUUUCCCAGACAGUCAGAGGGAGUUUCAUUCUUUCCUGUUUACUUUUCUCCCAAAUAGGCCUUCUGAGGCAGCAGAAUAGGGAAGGAAGUCAGAAGACUGACCAGCUCAUACCUAUGGAAUGCCUAUCAUACAUACACUUAAAAUUAUGGCAAGCUCACGCAGGCGCACUAAGAGAGAAAAAACAAGAAAACAGAUAUGACAAUUAUAGGAAAUCCCCUCCCUAGAGUUAAAGAAGUGUAGGAAGUGGGUAUAAAAGAACAAAGGCUAUAUUAAUCCAGGGCUGACACCACUUGAAGAUAAGCCCGUUCCUCUCUCUGGUAUAUUCUUUGCUUAAUAAAUCUUGUGGGGUGGUUAUUUGUGUGUCUCAUCCAAUUCUUUGUUCAUAACACCAAGAACCUGGAACUCCCAACUUCCAAUCUGGUAACAUAUUUUGGUGAGCCAGCCAGGAGGGUCAAGCCUGCAAUACCUAAAGCUCCAGACCUGGAACCCAAAGCUCCCAUCAGUCGCUACCCUGUGAACCUGUGGAGGAUCUGAAGUACCUGUUUAAAAGGCAUCCAAAAGAUAGAAUCUAUCAAGCUACAAAUGGCUAUGUUGCCUGAAGCCCCAGACAUCAUCCUACAAGAAAUAAGUCCAGACUUCUUAAUUUCCCCCUGGAUAGAGCAGGGUGGGAUUAAGUAAUUUACCAGAAAUCACGAAGUAAAUCAUAGAGCCUUGACUUGAACUCAGGAAGUUAACACAAUUCUGGGAAUAUAGCAGGCUGCCAAGAAAGGGAGCUCCGAAGGACAAUGACCAAAUAUGGAAAUAUUCAGACAAAGAUCAAUUAAACUUUGUGGAGACAUAGAGUUAUCAGAGUCCUAAAAGUUCAAUUAGACCAACCUCCAACAUAGAACACAGACUUCCUCUGCAACCUCUCCAACAGAUGGCCAUCCCAGCUGCCACCUAAACAAGUCCAAUGACAAAAGAGAGUGCUCUACUUGUUAAAGCAGCUCAUUGCAUUGCUGAACGUCUUUGCUGGAAAAAGUCUUCUUUAUAUGAAGCUAAAAUCUGUUUCUCCAUAAGUAUGAGCAAUUUGUUCCAAGCAAUCAAAAGAAAAUGAAUUUUUUGUCUCAUGCAUGUGAUAACUCUUCAGAACAAAUAACCCAGAUCCUUCCAUUUUUGCUCACUUGACAUGGUCUCCAAGCCCAUCCCUUAUCUGGCUAACCCCUCUGGAGUAGAAACAGUCUAGUUUCUCGGUUUUUUUAUUAAAAUGUAUUCCCAGAAA
rnacentral:lncRNA from 1 species